GGGGGUUUCGUGCAGGCUCUACUUUCUCUGAGCCGUUAUGCAGGCUAACAUUAGCAUUGACUGGAUUCCCUGCAUGCACGCACAAUCAAAUAUUUUUUUACAGGAAAGAGAAAAAUGAAUUCUUUUUUAAUUAAUACAUGUGUUCUAUAAUCCUAAUAUAUUUCAAGACUUACAUAGUUACAGGUAAGCUAAAUCCAAUUCGUAGGCUAAAUCCUAAUAAUUCUAAAUCUGACCUCUCACUAUUGUCGAUAUUUUAAAAUUAAAAUCCUCCUCCAAUCCUGACCCUCAAAUAUUGUUAAUAUUAGGAAACAACACUUUUUAAAU